CAGUCGCCACGGUAAUACGAAGGGUGCAAGCGUUACUCGGAAUUACUGGGCGUAAAGCGUGCGUAGGUGGUGGUUUAAGUCCGUUGUGAAAGCCCUGGGCUCAACCUGGGAAUUGCAGUGGAUACUGGGUCACUAGAGUGUGGUAGAGGAUAGUGGAAUUUCCGGUGUAGCAGUGAAAUGCGUAGAGAUCGGAAGGAACAUCUGUGGCGAAGGCGACUAUCUGGGCCAACACUGACACUGAGGCACGAAAGCGUGGGGAGCAAACAGGAUUAGAGACCCGAGUAGUCCCUGUCUCUUAUAC
rnacentral:rRNA from 1 species